UACAGAGCAUGAUACGGAGGGAUCACUGGACUCCUACAGAACACUCCAGACUGUGCUGUGAACAUUUUGUCUCUGCGUUGCAGAUAUGGCAGGCAAAAUCAGCCACUACUUUAAAAAGCCAUCACGCGAGGAGGAAAGUCAAGAGUCCAGAGUGCUUGAAGGCUGCUUCAAAAUCAUCUACAAGUGUCUCAAGAAAAAGUGGCCCCACCACACAAGCUAUGAGCCCAUCAUUCUCUUAUGCAAGUGCAUAGGCCACAGGUGUCAAAUUCAAGGCCUGGGGGCUAGAUCUGGCCCACAAACACCUGGAAACGAUAUGUGUCAAAGUACUUAAUAUUUUCUGACUAAAUGUAAUGGAUUUUAUUCAUUUUGACAGAAAUAUAAGUACUGCUUGAAAUUGCAUGCCUUUUAAACAUUAAUAGUCUCCAUUAUUGCAACAAA